UACGUAGGGUGCAAGCGUUGUCCGGAAUUAUUGGGCGUAAAGAGCUCGUAGGCGGUCUGUCGCGUCGGCUGUGAAAACUCGGGGCUCAACCCCGAGCCUGCAGUCGAUACGGGCAGACUAGAGUGCUGUAGGGGAGACUGGAAUUCCUGGUGUAGCGGUGAAAUGCGCAGAUAUCAGGAGGAACACCGGUGGCGAGGGCGGGUCUCUGGGCAGUAACUGACGCUGAGGAGCGAAAGCGUGGGGAGCGAACAGG
rnacentral:rRNA from 1 species